UACAGAGGGUGCGAGCGUUAAUCGGAAUUACUGGGCGUAAAGCGUGCGUAGACGGUUAUUUAAGUCGGGUGUGAAAGCCCCGGGCUCAACCUGGGAAUUGCAUUCGAGACUGAAUAGCUAGGGGUGCGGUAGAGGGAAGCGGAAUUCCGGUGUAGCGGUGAAAUGCGUAGAGUAUCGGAAGGAACAUCAGUGGCGAAAGCGGCUUCCUGGAGCAACUCCUGACACUGAGGCACGAAAGCUAGGGGAGCAAACAGG
rnacentral:rRNA from 1 species